rnacentral:lncRNA from 1 species
GGUAAAAAUCAAAAUCCUUGGACACCUUACGGCCAUGUGUCCCGAAUCCUUUUAGCUAAGUGCUUUAAGAUUUCCCUAUUAAAAUCUUAUUGAAGCGGCCUCCACUUCGCACUUAUGCGGUGAAUUCAUCAAGAGUAACUUUGGAUACUCCGACUAAGUAGUGUAUGAAUUUCAUUAAGAGAAAUUAAUCUCAUCCUCCUGUACAACAAAGUAUCAAUAAAUCUAUCAAGAGUGUUCCUACACACUCCAAUCAAAAUCGGUGUAUAAACUUAAUAAAAGAAUAUAAUCUCAUUAUUUUCUUUUAUAGGAAUACUGUCAAAUCUAUUAAAAGUGUUAUUAUUUUCUCCAACCGAUAUCGGUCUUAUAGAUUUAUUAAG